GUCCCCGUAGCUCAGGUGGAUAGAGCGACUGCCUCCUAAGCAGUAGGCCGCUGGUUCGAGUCCAGCCGGGGACA
rnacentral:tRNA from 1 species